GGCCAUAUCACACACCCGUUCCGUAAGAUCACCAAAGUAAAGCACCGUCGAGCCUGAUCAGUAGCUAGAUGGGUAACCACUUGGUAAAACCAGGUGUUGCAAG